UUGCAGAUUGGACUCCCGUGCGAAGACUGU
rnacentral:piRNA from 1 species